rnacentral:rRNA from 1 species
CCUACGGGCGGCCGCAGUGGGGAAUAUUGCACAAUGGGCGCAAGCCUGAUGCAGCCAUGCCGCGUGUGUGAAGAAGGCCUUCGGGUUGUAAAGCACUUUCAGCGGGGAGGAAGGCGUUAAGGUUAAUAACCUUGGCGAUUGACGUUACCCGCAGAAGAAGCACCGGCUAACUCCGUGCCAGCAGCCGCGGUAAUACGGAGGGUGCAAGCGUUAACCGGAAUUACUGGGCGUAAAGCGCACGCAGGCGGUCUGUCAAGUCGGAUGUGAAAUCCCCGGGCUCAACCUGGGAACUGCAUUCGAAACUGGCAGGCUAGAGUCUUGUAGAGGGGGGUAGAAUUCCAGGUGUAGCGGUGAAAUGCGUAGAGAUCUGGAGGAAUACCGGUGGCGAAGGCGGCCCCCUGGACAAAGACUGACGCUCAGGUGCGAAAGCGUGGGGAGCAAACAGGAUUAGAUACCCUAGUAGUC